GACGAACGCUGGCGGCGUGCUUAACGCAUGCAAGUCGAACGGAAAGGCCCUGCUUUUGUGCGGUGCUCGAGUGGCGAACGGGUGAGUAACACGUGAGUAACCUGCCCUUGACUUUGGGAUAACUUCAGGAAACUGGGGCUAAUACCGGAUAGGAGCUCCUGCUGCAUGGUGGGGGUUGGAAAGUUUCGGCGGUUGGGGAUGGACUCGCGGCUUAUCAGCUUGUUGGUGGGGUAGUGGCUUACCAAGGCUUUGACGGGUAGCCGGCCUGAGAGGGUGACCGGCCACAUUGGGACUGAGAUACGGCCCAGACUCCUACGGGAGGCAGCAGUGGGGAAUAUUGCACAAUGGGCGGAAGCCUGAUGCAGCAACGCCGCGUGCGGGAUGACGGCCUUCGGGUUGUAAACCGCUUUCGCCUGUGACGAAGCGUGAGUGACGGUAAUGGGUAAAGAAGCACCGGCUAACUACGUG
rnacentral:rRNA from 1 species